rnacentral:rRNA from 1 species
CCUACGGGGGGCAGCAGUGAGGAAUAUUGGUCAAUGGGCGCGAGCCUGAACCAGCCAAGUCGCGUGAGGGAAGACGGUCCUAUGGAUUGUAAACCUCUUUUGUCGGGGAGCAAAAGACGCCACGCGUGGCGUUCCGAGAGUACCCGAAGAAAAAGCAUCGGCUAACUCCGUGCCAGCAGCCGCGGUAAUACGGGGGAUGCGAGCGUUAUCCGGAUUUAUUGGGUUUAAAGGGUGCGCAGGCGGAAUAUCAAGUCAGCGGUAAAAUUGAGAGGCUCAACCUCUUCGAGCCGUUGAAACUGGUUGUCUUGAGUGAGCGAGAAGUAUGCGGAAUGCGCGGUGUAGCGGUGAAAUGCAUAGAUAUCACGCAGAACUCCGAUUGCGAAGGCAGCAUACCGGCGCUCAACUGACGCUCAGGCACGAAAGUGUGGGUAUCGAACAGGAUUAGAUACCCGUGUAGUC